AGCAGCCGCGGUAAUUCCAGCUCCAAUAGCGUAUAUUAAAGUUGUUGCAGUUAAAAAGCUCGUAGUUGAAUUUCGGGACUAAUAUGUCGGUCGUGCCUCGGUACGCACUGGCUUAUUGGUUUCUCCUUUCUGAAGAACCAUGAUGUCAUUUAUUUGGUGUCGUGGGGAAUCAGGACUGUUACUUUGAAAAAAUUAGAGUGUUUAAAGCAGGCUCACGCUUGAAUACAUUAGCAUGGAAUAAUGAAAUAGGACGUUUGAUUCUAUUUUGUUGGUUUCUAGGAUCGACGUAAUGAUUAAUAGGGAUAGUUGGGGGCAUUAGUAUUCAAUUGUCAGAGGUGAAAUUCUUGGAUUUAUUGAAGACUAACUACUGCGAAAGCAUUUGCCAAGGAUGUUUUCAUUAAUCAAGAACGAAAGUUAGGGGAUCGAAGACGAUCAGAUACCGUCGUAGUC
rnacentral:rRNA from 1 species